rnacentral:rRNA from 1 species
GGCAUCACUUAAUAUUGAAAACUCCGGUGGAUAGAGAUGGGCACGCGCAAGAUUAGAUAGUUGGUGGGGUAACGGCCUACCAAGUCGAUGAUCUUUAGGGGGCCUGAGAGGGUGAUCCCCCACACUGGUACUGAGACACGGACCAGACUCCUACGGGAGGCAGCAGUGAGGAAUAUUGGACAAUGGGUGCAAGCCUGAUCCAGCCAUCCCGCGUGAAGGACGACGGCCCUAUGGGUUGUAAACUUCUUUUGUACAGGGAUAAACCUAGAUACGUGUAUCUAGCUGAAUGUACUGUACGAAUAAGCACCGGCUAACUCCGUGCCAGCAGCCGCGGUAAUACGGAGGGUGCAAGCGUUAUCCGGAUUUAUUGGGUUUAAAGGGUCCGUAGGCGGAUCAUUAAAUCAGUGGUGAAAUCUCAUAGCUUAACUAUGACACUGCCAUUGAUACUGCUGGUCUUGACUAACGCACACCUAUCUGGAAUAAGUAGCGUACCGGAGAAC